UUCAGUCAUCGAUUUCUCUGAUAUACAUCAUUCAUAUGCACAGAGUUAAAUGUGUUCAUUUUGGAUAUUUCCUGAAAUCCAACUCACUAAUUCACAAAGCCUUGGGAGUAUCUCCCUACAAGAUGCUUAUUAAUUACAAAGUUGAACUUUAAAUCUACAUUGGAGAAACCUCACAGACACCACCUUAAACACAUGGUCAAAGUCUACCUCACUAGUAAUAAAAUGUGUCAACCUCGUAAACCCUUUUGGAGCUUCCCUGGUAGCUCAGCCAUAAAGAAUCUUCCUGCCAAUGCAGGAGACAUGGGUCUGAGUGUUCAAUCCCUGGGUCAGGAAGGUCCCCUGGAGAAGGAAAUGGCAACACACUCCAGUGUUCUUGCCUAGAAAAUCCCAUGGACAGAGGAGCCUGGCGGGCUACAGUCCAUGGGGUUGCAAAGGAGUUGGACACAACUGAGCAACUAAACAACAACCUCAUGCACCUCUGGAUGCGACGCACCGGGAAGGGGAUACUAUCGUGACUGUGCAGAGACCUUCCCAACCAUCUCGUCCACACAGCGUAGUGAGCAUAGUACCACGUCUCCUGUGUGCUGUCCUCCUGUGCACUUCCCCACUCUUACUCCAAAGUCACAGCAAUGAUGCCUGUGCAUGUGGAUGCUGAAAUAUCUUAAGUUUAGUUGACAUUACCAACAACAAUCAUCAGACAAUGGAACUGUGUUGAUGCAAAACAAGCCCUCAUGCUACUUGGGGAAAAAUUCAAUUAACAACGGAAUCAUGUAGAGCCACCCGGUGGUGAUGGAGAUUUAGUGGCAUACUGCAGUUGAAAACUGCCUGUAGGGGCCAUGGGGCUAUUUCCCCUUUAUUCUUGCUUUGCCAGCCCACAGCAACCAUGCUGGUUGCCACUCAUCACAAAUCAAAUGAAACAAAAAUCACCAGGGGUUAAAAAGCCUAUACUGGAUUAUAGCCAUGCCAUUUAGAACAUAACAUUUUACUGGUAAUUGCAUUCUGUUGAAUAAAUAUCCUGACAUCAGCUUAUGGCAUAUUAGUAUUCUGAUGGCAAUUAUUUUCACUUAAAUGUGUCUGCCUCUAAAACAGGAAAGGGUACAAUGACACGAGGUUUGGAGAUGGAAUGGAUAGUCUGUCUGUUAAACCAGAGGCUCUCGCGUGGAGUUAGGGUUGUGGGUUAAACAAAUUACACAGAGAUUUAUUUCAUGUGAUGUCUUUGCAAAAUUAUCUAUUGAAGCCAUACACUUACAGUUUUCAAACUCUGUUGUAUAUAUAUAGAGCCAGGGGCUAGAAGUACAGAUGCUGAGGCUCUUCCCCAGACAUUCUGUAUUCGAAUCUUUAGGAGCAGGACUCAGGAAUCUACAUUCUUAACACAGUUCUCAAGUCUUCCAGUGAACUGCCAGUUUGACGAAUACUGUUCUAAAUGUUUACCAGUCUUAUUCCAAAGUAUCAAUGAUGAUUCAAGUAUAAAUUCAUCUAAAAAGCACAAAGUCUACCACUGGAAAUAGACCAAGGAACAGCAAGUAUGAUUCAUGGGUCAAAUCUGACUCAACAACUGUUCUUACAUAUAAAGUUUUAUUGGAACACAACCAUGUUUAUUUGUUUACAAAUUAUCUACAGCUACUAUAUUCAUUAAAAAAAAUUUUUUUUGUUACUUUCUUGUUAAAACUGCAGAAAGCAGUUGUGACAGAGACCAUAUAACCUGCAAAGCCUGAAACAGUCACCACCUGGCCUUUGUGGAAAAAAGUUUGCCAACACCUGAUAUAAACAGAUAUCGGGGACUGAGGGACCAGGAAAUGGCCAUGUCUGGAGCAUCUCUGAGUCUCCAAAGCCUCUGGGCUGUGAACAUAUGAGGGACUGAAGUUGGAAUUAAGACUGAUAAUGAUGGAUGAAAUGGCUUCCCUGGUGGUGCAGUGGUAAAGAAUCUGUCUGCCAAUGCAGGAGACAAGGGUUUGAUCCCUGGUCCAGGAAGAUCCCACAUGCCAAGGGGCAGGUAAACCCAUGUGCGCCAACUACUGAGCCUGUGCUCAGGGCCUGGGAGCCAUAGCUACUGAGCCC
ensembl:lncRNA